GACGAACGCUGGCGGCGUGCUUAACACAUGCAAGUCGAACGCGGAAGCUCAGCUUUUGGUGGGUGGAUGAGUGGCGAACGGGUGAGUAACACGUGAGUAACCUGCCCCCUUCUUUGGGAUAACGCCCGGAAACGGGUGCUAAUACUGGAUAUUCACUGUUCUUCGCAUGGGGGUUGGUGUAAAGGGUUUUUCUUGUUGGGGAAGGGCUCGCGGCCUAUCAGCUUGUUGGUGGGGUGAUGGCCGACCAAGGCUUUGACGGGUAGACGGCCUGAGCGGGUGACCGGUCACAUUGGGACUGAGAUCCGGCCCAGACUCCGACGGGGGGCAGAAGUGUGGAAUAUGGCACAAUGGGCGAAAGCGUGAUGCAGCGGCGCGGCGUGAGGGAUGGAGGCCUUCGGGUUGUGAAGCUCUUUCGCUUAUGGUCAAGCCGCAACAAUGGUUGUGGUGAGGGUAGUGGGUAAAGAAGCGCCGGCUAACUACGUG
rnacentral:rRNA from 1 species